rnacentral:lncRNA from 1 species
UCAAGUUAUUUAUUACAGACCAGAGUUAUAAAACGAGUGCUGAGCAGUAUUAUUACAAUACCAAGGGAGGCAAAAACUCCUCCCGAUAGUUUUUACUUAAAAGUUUUAUGGAGGACCAUGUCCUCCCGCAGCUUCACCUUGUUUUUCUUCAUUUGGAACCACCUUGGAGCAAAAGCAACAAAAGUUUGUUGCUUCCCCACCUAAAAACAACGGGGGAAUAAACCCUGAGUAUGGAAUUACUCAGCAAGUCUUACCCGACUAAAGAAAAGACUCUCAAGGGUAUGCUGGUUAAGGAAGUCAAGGUAAGGCUUCUCAAUAAUCAAAGACUCUAUUUUGCAGAAAUGCUUACUAAAGUGGAUCCUUAAAAAUCCAGUUUUAUUUGUCAAGUUAAGUAAAAUUACCUGCGACUAGAGUUCUUUCUACCCUAGUUCAAUCACUUGACCUACACUAGCCAAUUUCAUAACAAAACCUUUCAUCUUUACUGGAGUUCUACGUAUAGGGCAGUGACCAAGUCUUCAUGACCGCGAAGGUACGGCGAUCCGAAUCAAUUAUACUUAGCUGAGGAUCUCCAAUCACACGACAUAUGUAGCACUUAACCCUUGCAUAUGUCAACCCGCCACCGGGGUUCUUAAGACCAGAUCAGGUUCACGCGAACCGAGAGCACAGAUACACCACAGUCCAGCCUCUUGCCACGGAGGGUACACGCUACUCUCGCCACCGCUCCACGCCCAUUCCGUGUUAUCUUAUUCUGGCCUUAGCCUGCCCGAGGCAAGGCUUACCCAUGACGAGGCAUGUGACCAGUUAAAGGGUCCUCGGUCAGCAAGCCUACAUCGACACGGUCCUUAAUCGACUCAGACGGAGACACUACACCGAGACUCCUUUCUCGUGCAAGUCACCCGCCCGGUCUCAGCUUAACUAUUUCAAACCCAAAGUUUGGUACCUGGCAGAGGUACAUAUUUUCCGAUGUUGAACCCAUCACGGUCGUGAUGGAUCCACCACAAAUUUUAUUUUCGAAAACAUCCCACCCACUUUUGCCAUAUCAUCUUUUGGAAAAAAACAUUUUGUUUCUAAAGCAAGGCUAAGCAUCAAAAUCUUUUGUAAAACGGGUGAUCAAGGAAGGUAAUCAAAUUCAAGGAAGGUAAUGCAGGAAUUGUUUAAUCAAUCAACUCCUAUCACCUAAUGCAACAAGCAAGUGAGAAAGAUUUUAAAAACAUCAAGGAGGGUGGCAAAUGCACCGGGGCUUGCCUUCGUUAGUAGGUGAGUCAGACUCGGACCCGCAGAUAUCAAAGUAGAAACAAUUUCCGGCCUGAGAUUCUGAAGGUGGUGGUGUCUUCUCUUCGGUUACUUCGAUUUCUUCUUCGUUUUCUAAACAUAACCAUAUAUAUACAUAUAUAAGAAUGAAUGCCAUGUAAUGCUCAUGAGAGUGCAAAGAUAAUAAGAAUUUAUUACCUAAGUCUUGAAUACAACUUUCUUUCACGGAACUCCGAGAACUUAGGGUUUCCGGAGUCAGUAAAGGAGUUCAAAGGGCAGGGGUGGGGGUUUUGGGUUCUAGUUAUCAAACAAGGUCCAAAUCAAAUCAAACUCUACCCAAGGCUUCUAAAUAAUAUGUAGAGCUUAUAUAAAAAGUUUGAUCAUUUUUGAAAUUACCAUAUGUUUUCUAAAAAUCCAAAACUAAUGCUUUAAACUACUUUAAAUGCCUUAAAAUUCCUUAUUUAAUCUAAAAAUCAUGAAACUAAUUUUAUUAAAUACUAUGGAAAAUAAGAAGCCUAGGAAAAUUGGUUUGACAAUUUUGGGAUUUUUCUACACUUUUCUAUAAUUGUUUUAGCUCUGGAAUAAAAAGAAAAGGAGAAACUUGUGAAUAGUAUUGGGCUGAUUUCAGCCCAGACGGCCCAACAGUGGACAGAAGCGCGCUCGCUCCCGCACGCGCUGGUUGUUUUGCGAAAAGGGCCUUGGGUUUUCAGCUAACUGAAAACAUAUUCUUUCACUGUUUCACGGUGUCUCUGACAGAUUGCAGAAAAGCCCUCAGUCUUCUAUUCCUUUGCGAGGCGAGGUCCCCGACGGCGCUCCGCACGGGAAGCCCAACUCCGGCGAGCUAGACCGGCCGGAGAAGGCCAAGACCGGUGCUCAGCUUCGGACUAAACCAAAUCCAUGACCUAGAGAAUGUUUCCCUAGCUUAAUUGCACGAAUGGUGACCUAUUCUAUUCUGCCCACGAGAACAGCGAAGGUUAUGAACAUUUGAUCGUGUUCCCGGUGAUUGGUGUGGCAGAACCUCCCAAGUUAUUGGGCCCACAUGCACCUGUCCUUGUCUCAAAGACCUCAGACUGCUAUGCAUGUGCACCAGAUAACUUAACAGGAUCCGUCCGAUUGCCCCAAGGGCACCGGAAAAACCACUUACAACCAGAACCGCGGGAUUAAGUAACACAAAUCACACACACCAAUAUUUUUGUAGCGGAACUUCUUUAUUACAAAAGGUUACAAGUUACAUCAAAUUUACAUUAUGUUUAUCGGAGUUAUUACAAAGUGAUUCAAAGAAAUAAACUUUGAAAUGUUAUAAAUUACUUGUAAGUUUAAAAUAGAUGCUAGCUUAAGUGACCAUCCUCAAUAAGAAGUAUAGAAGAAGUUACUUAGACUUAUAAGAAGGCCGAGCCCACCGGCACUUAGCACCAUCCACAGCAACACACUUCUAAUUUUGGUUCUUCCUUCUUCUGGGGAAACACCUUUGCACAAAAGUGGCAAAGCUUCGCAGGCUCUUCACCUAAAACAACAUGGGACAAAGCCCUGAGUACGAAGUGUACUUUCGCAAGUCUUACCCGACUAAGGAAAAAGACUCUCAAGGAUAUGCUGGAUUUAGGAAUCAAGGAGAGGCUUUUAGCAAGAAUCAACUUAGAUACUUUUGCAGAAAAAGCUUACUAAAGUGAGUCCUUACUUUCAAUAUUUUAAUGCCAGAUUAAAUAUUAAUAGACUCUGUUUGCACCUAGUCUAAUUUCACCAUCUCAUCAAUACAACAUCAUUUUUACUCAUAAUGUUUACAUCCUGACUUAGGUUGUAGGUCGGAGAUCAAGUCUCCACUCUCCGGGGAUAUAACGGCGAUCCGAAUCGAUUUACUCAGCUGAGGAUCUCUAACCACACGACAUAUGUAGCACUUAACCCUUGCAUAUGUCAACUGUUCCCACAGAUCCUCCACAACGUGAACCGGUCCGCGCUACCCGGGAGCACAGUACUCCUCCAUCCAGCCUCUAGCCAGGAGGGUACACGCUACUCCCACCAUCUCCCAUGCCCAGUGCGCGGUUGUCUUUUCACGUAUGGAAUAGCCGGGUUCAAACUUACCCUGUCCCAUUUCCAGGGCAUGUGGCUAGUUAAGAUAGUCCUUGAUCAACAGGCCUACAUACGCAUCCAAUCCUUAAUUAACCUGGGCGGAGCAUCACCUGUUCCUAACCCAAGUCCCGAUUUAAGUACUUCCAUCCUUAGGAUUGUUUGUAUUCCUUAGGAUGAAAAGAGCAUUAUAGGGAACUUUGCAGUAAGAUCCCACCACGUUCCCAAUGAAAAAUAUUCUUGCAGGUAGAAGCCAUCUUUCCUCAGGAUAACCCCUGAGCUAGGCCUUAAUGCAAAAGACAACCUCUAUCCACAAGAUCUAAGCAGGGAUAAGCAUUUUUGUAAAUCAUAUUUUGAUACUUCAUCAGAAGUAUCUAUAAAGGUAUGGAUAUCAAGGUAAGCAAUGCAUCAAAGGGUUUCCAAGCAACUCCUAUAAACCUAAUGCACAUUUCACUAGACUUAAAGUGUGCAAACAUUAUUUAAAAACACAAGGAAGGGGUUGCAUGCACCGGGGCUUGCCUUUGUUGCAGUGAAGUGGUUCUAGAUCCCUCUAUUCAAUACCCAGUUAGAUGGCUUCAUCCACUUGAGGAGCAGGCGUUGGAGUAGACUUCUUCAAAUACCACCUCGUCUAGGUGUUCUACAAGUCAAUUACAAAUACAUGAAUGCUUAUGUAAUGACAUGUAAUGCAAACUCUCACAAGGAGAGGUGGGGAACAGAAACACUACAACUAAAGCACAUGACAAGAAUACACCUAUUUCUUAACGCUCGAUUAAAGUGACCAAUUUGAAUUCACUUAGGUAAACCAGAGAACUAAUCCAUCUUUGAUCUCAUCCAAAAGUGUAAAACUUCAUAAGCAACUGCAUCUCUUCCCUAAAUAAACUUAGCUCCUUUCCAAAGCAUUAAUUCAUACUUGAUUAGGGAUUUUCUCACCCUAUUUGUGACUUUACAAUGCUUUCUAAGAAAAAGGUUUCUAAAAAGGCUCCAAAUUUUAACAAGUGCUCACUUUAUGAUAACAAGUCUUUCCAAGAAUUUCCAUGAUUUUUGGUGCUCAACUCUGAUUUCAAAAAUUCCAAUAAUCCUUCCAAAGACACCUUUGAUUCACUUAAAAUUUGCUAACUGAUCUAAAAAUCCUAAAACCAUUCUUAUCUGAGAUCUCAUGAAUUUAGACAUCCAACAAAAUUGAUCUCACUAUUUUUGGAUUUUUCUACAAUUUCUAGCACAAUUUAUAAGUUCUCUGUUAAAGAAAAUACCAAAAUAUGAACAGCAUUGGGCCCAAACUAGACCACACCGCCCAAGUUGUGCAGAGCCGACCCAUGGCUGACAGCUCGCACCCACGCCGUGCGCGCUUUGCAAAAAGAACCUCGUUGCCCAGACAAAUCCAAACGAGCCCGAGCCACUGUUAAUUGGUGUCACUGACAGUUUCGCUUAGAUCCCUCGACUUCAUCUCUUUUGCACAAACUCAGUCGCGACACCGUCGUGCUCAACCCCGGCGGUCAGACGUCCGAUCCGCCACGGUGGUGUGACCUAGUCAACGACGACGGCACCAUCACGAUCCCUAGGCAACGGUGGACUCCAACCUGUGUUCAAUCGACCGCGGGGACACUAAGACCUAACUACCGAUGGCGGCGGCGACAAACCCAGUUCAGUGGGCUCAAUUCUAUGGGGACGGUCUGCAGCGGCGCGACCCUGUUCCGGUCAACACAAGACGGUAGAACUGAAAUUACCAAUGGGAAAACCUUCACUGACCUUAGAAGAACGUGGAACGAGGGUCAUGCGGGCUGGUCACUCCUUGAGACGUCUUGGCCACGGCGAGGUAGGCAGUCAGUGGGCGUGGUCACCACUGACAGAGGGAUGGCAUACUAGACCCUGGGACUGGGCAAACUUGGGCAGGGGAGAGGUGAACACUGGUGCGGACAGAAGACCUACCACACUCACACACGCUGCAAUCUGGCUGGAGCUUGAGGAUAGGGAGGAAAACUUCCCUGGACCAAGUUUUAUAGCCACAGAUUAAGGGCAGAUGUCAUUGAACCUGUGCACUGCAUGGAGGUGAAGAGCAGCUAGAGAUGCCAGCACAACCUGGG